AGUGAACGCUGGCGGUAGGCCUAACACAUGCAAGUCGAACGGCAGCACAGUAAGAGCUUGCUCUUACGGGUGGCGAGUGGCGGACGGGUGAGGAAUACAUCGGAAUCUACUUUUUCGUGGGGGAUAACGUAGGGAAACUUACGCUAAUACCGCAUACGACCUGCGGGUGAAAGCAGGGGAUCUUCGGACCUUGCGCGAUUGAAUGAGCCGAUGUCGGAUUAGCUAGUUGGCGGGGUAAAGGCCCACCAAGGCGACGAUCCGUAGCUGGUCUGAGAGGAUGAUCAGCCUCACUGGAACUGAGACACGGUCCAGACUCCUACGGGAGGCAGCAGUGGGGAAUAUUGGACAAUGGGCGCAAGCCUGAUCCAGCCAUACCGCGUGGGUGAAGAAGGCCUUCGGGUUGUAAAGCCCUUUUGUUGGGAAAGAAAAGCAGCAGGUUAAUACCCCGCUGUUCUGACGGUACCCAAAGAAUAAGCACCGGCUAACUUCGUG
rnacentral:rRNA from 1 species